CAGCUAGUUGGUGAGGUAACGGCCCACCAAGGCGACGAUCGGUAGCCGGCCUGAGAGGGCACACGGCCACACUGGCACUGAAACACGGGCCAGACUCCUACGGGAGGCAGCAGUGGGGAAUCUUGCACAAUGGAGGCAACUCUGAUGCAGCGACGCCGCGUGAGCGAUGAAGCCCUUCGGGGUGUAAAGCUCUUUCGGCAGGAACGAUAAUGACGGUACCUGAAGAAGAAGCUGCGGCUAACUACGUGCCAGCAGCCGCGGUAAUACGUAGGCAGCGAGCGUUGUUCGGAAUUACUGGGCGUAAAGAGUGUGUAGGCGGUGCUCUAAGUUCGGUGUGAAAUCUCCCGGCUUAACUGGGAGGGUGCGCCGGAAACCGGAGUGCUCGAGCGUGGGAGAGGAAAGCGGAAUUCCUGGUGUAGCGGUGAAAUGCGUAGAUAUCAGGAGGAACACCUGCGGUGUAGACGGCUUUCUGGACCAUUGCUGACGCUGAGACACGAAAGCGUGGGUAGCAAACAGGAUUAGAUACCCUGGUAGUCCACG
rnacentral:rRNA from 1 species